GGGCCCGCACAAGCAGCGGAGCAUGUGGUUUAAUUCGAAGCAACGCGAAGAACCUUACCUGGACUUGACAUCCCCUGAAUUACUCGUAAUGGAGGAAGCCCUUCGGGGCAGGGAGACAGGUGGUGCAUGGUUGUCGUCAGCUCGUGUCGUGAGAUGUUAGGUUAAGUCCUGCAACGAGCGCAACCCUUAUCAUUAGUUGCUACCAUUAAGUUGAGCACUCUAGUGAGACUGCCCGGGUUAACCGGGAGGAAGGUGGGGAUGACGUCAAAUCAUCAUGCCCCUUAUGUCCAGGGCUACACACGUGCUACAAUGGGUGAUACAAAGAGAUGCAAUACAGUGAUGUGGAGCAAAACUAUAAAAUCACCCUCAGUUCGGAUUGUAGGCUGAAACUCGCCUACAUGAAGCUGGAGUUGCUAGUAAUCGCGAAUCAGCAUGUCGCGGUGAAUACGUUCCCGGGCCUU
rnacentral:rRNA from 1 species